CCUACGGGUGGCAGCAGUGAGGAAUAUUGGUCAAUGGGCGAGAGCCUGAACCAGCCAAUUCGCGUGAAGGAUGAAGGAUCUAUGGUUUGUAAACUUCUUUUAUAUGGGAAUAAAGUGAGGAACGUGUUCCUUUUUGUAUGUACCAUAUGCAUAAGCAUCGGCUAACUCCGUGCCAGCAGCCGAGGUAAUACGGAGGCUGCGAGCGUUAUCCGGAUUUAUUGGGUUUAAGGGGUGCGCAGGCGGUUUGUUAAGUCAGCGGUCAAAGACCGGGGCUCAACCCCGGCCCGCCGUUGAAACUGGCAGUCGCGAGUUGGCGAGAAGUAUGCGGAAUGCGCGGUGUAGCGGUGAAAUGCAUAGAUAUCGCGCAGAACUCCGAUUGCGAAGGCAGCAUGCCGGCUCCACACUGACGCUGAGGCACGAAAGCGUGGGUAUCGAACAGGAUUAGAGACCCUAGUAGUC
rnacentral:rRNA from 1 species